GAAGUGACACUGGUAUACGGAGUCACGUGAUCGGAUUGGAAGUCACGUGACGCGGAAGUGACGCGAUGUCAGAAUCACGUGAUCGGACUAAAGGUCACGUGACGCGGAAGUGCAGGACGCCAGCAAACGGCGGCAAAUUGAAUACCCAGGAUAUUUAAAGAGAGGAAGAUCACUAUGGACCACACACUUUGACAAAGACCUGGAGGUCGAAACGCGUUAGUGCUGUGGUCUCUUUCACUAUAUAGUAUUUUAAUUGAUUUUUAUUUUGUAUGUUAUUUUAUAUAUAGUAAAGUUUAUAUGUUUUAACUCAUUGGACAUCCUGAAAAUUAUUUGAAGGACCAGAAAGGAGUUAUCCUGGUGGAGAAAGCUGGAAUAGGCUUAUUAUUCACCUGCCAUUGAAGUCAGAGCCAGCUCUAUGUGGCUCUGUGUCUGUGAGUGACCCAAUACCUUUGAAUUGAUUAUUCCUACUUUAUAUAACGGUAUUAUACUAUGUAUGUGUUUUUACUGUUUUUAUUAUAGGAUAAUCAGGAGGUGAUUUACUCACUACAGUAA